UGGACGGGAAUAACCUCGGGAAACUGAGUAUAAUUCCCGAUAGAACAUUAUGCCUGGAAUGGUUUAUGUUCCAAAUGAUUUAUCGCCGUAGGAUGGGACUGCGGCCUAUCAGUUUGUUGGUGAGGUAAUGGCCCACCAAGACUAUUACAGGUACGGGCUCUGAGAGGAGUAGCCCGGAGAUGGGUACUGAGACACGGACCCAGGCCCUAUGGGGCGCAGCAGGCGAGAAAACUUUGCAAUGUGCGAAAGCACGACAAGGUUAAUCCGAGUGGUUUCUGCUAAAGGAACCUUUUGUUAGUCCUAGAAACACUAACGAAUAAGGGGUGGGCAAGUUCUGGUGUCAGCCGCCGCGGUAAAACCAGCACCUCAAGUGGUCAGGAUGAUUAUUGGGCCUAAAGCAUCCGUAGCCGGCUCUGUAAGUUUUCGGUUAAAUCUGUACGCUCAACGUACAGGCAGCCGGGAAUACUGCAGAGCUAGGGAGUGGGAGAGGUAGACGGUACUCGGGAGGAAGGGGUAAAAUCCUUUGAUCUCUCGAUGACCACCUGUGGCGAAGGCGGUCUACCAGAACACGUCCGACGGUGAGGGAUGAAAGCUGGGGGAGCAAACCGGAUUAGAUACCCGGGUAGUCCCAGCUGUAAACUAUGCAAACUCAGUGAUGCAUUGACUUGUGGUCAAUGCAGUGCUGCAGGGAAGCCGUUAAGUUUGCCGCCUGGGAAGUACGUACGCAAGUAUGAAACUUAAAGGAAUUGGCGGG
rnacentral:rRNA from 1 species